ACUCCUACGGGAGGCAGCAGUAGGGAAUAUUGGACAAUGGGCGAAAGACCUGAUCCAGCAAUGCCGCGUGAGUGAUGAAGGCCUUAGGUUGUAAAGCUCUUUUACCCGUAGAUGAUAAUGACAGUAUCGGGAGAAUAAGCUCCGGCUAACUCCGUGCCAGCAGCCGCGGUAAUACGGAGGGGAGCUAGCGUUGUUCGGAAUUACUGGGCGUAAAGCGCACGUAGGCGGCGAUUUAAGUCAGAGGUGAAAGCCCGGGGCUCAACCCCGGAACUGCCUUUGAGACUGGAUUGCUAGAAUCUUGGAGAGGCGAGUGGAAUUCCGAGUGUAGAGGUGAAAUUCGUAGAUAUUCGGAAGAACACCAGU
rnacentral:rRNA from 1 species